rnacentral:rRNA from 1 species
GACGAACGCUGGCGGCGUGCUUAACACAUGCAAGUCGAACGGAAAGGCCCCUUUGGGGGUACUCGAGUGGCGAACGGGUGCGUAACACGUGAGUAACCUGCCCUUGACUUCGGGAUAACUUCAGGAAACUGGGGCUAAUACCGGAAAGGAAUCCUUGCUGCAUGGUGGGGGUUGGAAAGCUUCGGCGGUUUUGGAUGGACUCGCGGCAUAUCAGCUUGUUGGUGGGGUAGUGGCUUACCAAGGCUUUGACGGGUAGCCGGCCUGAGAGGGCGACCGGACACAUUGGGACUGAGAUACGGCCCCGACUCCUACGGGAGGCAGCAGUGGGGAAUAUUGCCCAAUGGGCGGAAGCCGGAUGCAGCAACGCCGCGUGCGGGAUGACGGCCUUCGGGUUGUAAACCGCUUUCAGCAGGGGCGAAGCUUGUGGUGACGGUACCUGCAGAAGAAGCACCGGCUAACUACGUG